ACUUGCCUAGCACUCUUGAGGCUCUGAGUUCCAUCCCCAGCCAGGAUGGAGUGGGAAUGGAUGUUUAGUGUUCAAAUCUGAAUUGAAGGCAAGGAUUGGGACCUGUUUCUACCUAGGGCUUAGCACAAGACCUCGAGCACUAUCAAUGCUCCCAUUUUGUAGUCACUUCCUUGUUGUUGGGACAAAAUACCUGUUGCCUGCAACUUAAAGGAGAGGUUUCUUUUGGUUCACAGUUCAGAGGAUGCAGUCCAUGGUAAGAACCUCCAAGACAGGAACACGAUGGUAGAAGGGCCUGGCAGGGGAGAGCGGCUCGCCUCUAGGCAGCCACGCACACAGGCGGGAGGGACCAGAGACAAGGCCACACCCCCAGCAACCACCUCCACUCAAGCCUUGCCUAGCAGCGUGGACAGCUCUGAAUUCAAUGGCUGAAUACACCGUUGGGUAUCGCUUCACCGUGAACCAAUCAGUUUCUACAGUUGGAUCAGCUGCAAGGAACUGUGUGGCUGCCGGCUCCUCCAAAAGGCUGAGGAUUCCUCCUGACAUCCA